UGGGACUCCAGGAUCAUGACCUGAGCCGAAGGCAGUUGCUUAACCAACUGAGCCACCCAGGCACCCUCCAAAGGAUGAAUUCUUAUGUCUUUCUUGGAUUGACCUGGCAUGCCUUGAAAAGAACAUUACUUCCAAUUGAUCAGCAUAGUCAUGAAAAAGCAAUAAAAAUCUUGCAUGAUGCACGAAUGGUAAUGCCUCAAGCAAUUUUAGAACUCCACAGCUGCACCCAGAGCGUUUGUGUAUCUGUGUGUGUUUGUAUAUGUGUGCAUUUGAAUGUGUGUGGGAGGGAGUGGCUUUAGUAGAUGGUGGAGAUAUGCUGCAUGCACAGAUAUAUACCAGAAUAACAUUGCUUUUCCACAUUAUAAAGGUAUUUUUCCUUUAAUGCAUAAAUAUAUGCAAUAAAUCUGACAUUAAUAACAUAUUCUAGAAGAGAUCAUAUUUGCAAACUAAAGGGAUUUUCUUUUUGUAAAUUUAACAAUGCCAGCAUUAUUGGAUCUAGAUGUUUGAUAGCCUUCUUGUGCUUGAAGGAGCAUCCCAGGAAAGGGAACUAUACCGUAGGUACGGUCAUUUUUUCCCCCAGUGAGAUCAGGAAACAAUAAAGUUGACAUCAGGAUGUGACAGGGCUGGGAUUAGGGUGAAGCCAACUUGUGCAAGUGUAGGGUUAGAGCCUUUAUUUAAUAUUUGGAUAUUUUGUUCAUAAUGUAUUGUUUUCAUGAAGUUUGAUUUUUUUUAGAAUAUUGCAUUAAACAUAUCUAUCUUUAAUUCUAAGUUUUGGGAAGACCCAUUAAUUUUGCUUCUGAGACACUUGCCUUACUUUUGUCCUGGUCCUAUUGGUUGUUUCCAAUUUGCAAGUUCAAGUGGCCAUUGCAGCACUAUGAUGCCAUCACAACUGGAAUCUGAGCACCAAAAUCUGAAUCAAGUCCUCCUCCAUUCUGCAUAUGGGAUAGCAGCAGCAACAGUAGAAGAAUACAAAGGUGGCAUGCAGCUGUGUGAAAAAUAUGGUAUCUAUUAGGUCGAUUAAAUUUGCUAAUAAUGUUGAGAAUUUUGCAUUUAUGUACAUGAGGGAUAUUGAUCUAUAUAUAUUUUUCAUGUUAUACUCUUAUCAGGUUUAGUUUCAGGAUUAUACUGGUCUCAUAACAUGAUUUGGCAAUAGUUUCCUCCUUUCUAUUAUGAAAGAGUUUGUGUAAGAUAUUUCUUAUUUCUUCUUUAUGUAUUUGGUAGAAUUUAUGACAGAAGACACCUGUGGCUAACAUUUUCUUUGUGGAAAAAAUUUGAAUUGCAAAAUAAAUUGCUUAAAUAGAUAUCCUACAA